rnacentral:rRNA from 1 species
CGGACGGGUGAGUAACGCGUGGAUAACCUGCCUCACACAGGGGGAUAACAGUUAGAAAUAGGUGCUAAUACCGCAUAAGCGCACAGCUUCGCAUGAAGCGGUGUGAAAAACUCUGGUGGUAUACGAUGGUUCCGCGUCUGAUUAGCUAGUUGGUGGGGUAAUGGCCUACCAAGGCAACGAUCAGUAGCCGGCCUGAGAGGGUGAACGGCCACAUUGGGACUGAGACACGGCCCAAACUCCUACGGAAGGCAGCAG